AUUGAACGCUGGCGGCAGGCUUAACACAUGCAAGUCGAGCGGAGAUGAGGUGCUUGCACCUUAUCUUAGCGGCGGACGGGUGAGUAAUGCUUAGGAAUCUGCCUAUUAGUGGGGGACAACAUUCCGAAAGGAAUGCUAAUACCGCAUACGCCCUACGGGGGAAAGCAGGGGAUCUUCGGACCUUGCGCUAAUAGAUGAGCCUAGGUCGGAUUAGCUAGUUGGUGGGGUAAAGGCCUACCAAGGCGACGAUCUGUAGCGGGUCGGAGAGGAUGAUCCGCCAGACUGGGACUGGAAGACGGCCCAGACUCCUACGGGAGGCAGCAGUGGUGAAUAUUGGACAAUGGGCGGAAGCCUGAUCCAGCCAUGCCGCGUGUGUGAAGAAGGCCUUUUGGUUGUAAAGCACUUUAAGCGAGGAGGAGGCUACUUAGAUUAAUACUCUAGGAUAGUGGACGUUACUCGCAGAAUAAGCACCGGCUAACUCUGUGCCAGCCGCCGCAGUAACAC
rnacentral:rRNA from 1 species